rnacentral:rRNA from 1 species
AACCGCUUUCGGGCGGGGAUUAGUGGCGAACGGGUGAGUAACACGUGGGCAAUCUGCCCUGCACUCUGGGACAAGCCCUGGAAACGGGGUCUAAUACCGGAUAUGACUGUCCAUCGCAUGGUGGAUGGUGUAAAGCUCCGGCGGUGCAGGAUGAGCCCGCGGCCUAUCAGCUUGUUGGUGAGGUAGUGGCUCACCAAGGCGACCACGGGUAGCCGGCCUGAGAGGGCGACCGGCCACACUGGGACUGAGACACGGCCCAGACUCCUACGGGAGGCAGCAGUGGGGAAUAUUGCACAAUGGGCGAAAGCCUGAUGCAGCGACGCCGCGUGAGGGAUGACGGCCUUCGGGUUGUAAACCUCUUUCAGCAGGGAAGAAGCGAAAGUGACGGUACCUGCAGAAGAAGCGCCGGCUAACUACGUGCCAGCAGCCGCGGUAAUACGUAGGGCGCAAGCGUUGUCCGGAAUUAUUGGGCGUAAAGAGCUCGUAGGCGGCUUGUCACGUCGG